rnacentral:rRNA from 1 species
ACGAACCGUGCGAACGUUGUUCGGAAUCACUGGGCUUAAAGGGCGCGUAGGCGGCUUCGCAAGUCCGGGGUGAAAGCCCCCAGCUCAACUGGGGAAGUGCCUUGGAAACUGCGGAGCUCGAGCGAGGUAGGGGUCGUGGGAACUUCCGGUGGAGCGGUGAAAUGCGUUGAUAUCGGAAGGAACGCCGGUGGCGAAAGCGCACGACUGGACCUCUCCUGACGCUGAGGCGCGAAAGCCAGGGGAGCAAACGGGA